AGUAACCAGCAGAGUGAUGCAGUGUACUGGUGUGAGUCUGGAUCAGGAGAGUUCAGCAACGCCGUCAACAUCACUAUACAGAAAACAGAUAUUAUCCUGGUGAGCCCUGUCCAUCCUGUGACUGAGGGAGAUUCUGUUAGCCUGAGCUGCAGAUUGAGAAGACAAACAUUUGAGUCCAAUGUGUUUUUCUAUCGAAAUGAGAAACUGAUUCAAAAUGAUACCAGAAGGGAGCUGAAUAUCUCUGCAGUGUCAAAGUCAGAUGAGGGUUUCUACAAGUGUCAAUACUCACAACAAGUGUCAGCACAGAGUUGGAUGUCAGUUAAUGGUGAGUAGGAUUAAACAUUUUCUGCAUUUUCUUUGAAAUAGCAUUAGUUUCAGAUAGUUUCAACUGUUGCAUUAAGUAGAAAAGACUGUUUCCUUCUGAGCUGAAGAAAGUCUGCAUCAGUGGUUGUGAUAGUCAUGAUUUAUUGUGAAUGGGUAAUAGCACACUGUAUACUGACAUAUUUGUGUAUAUAUUGUACCAUACAGCAUUUUCAUUCCAUGGGCCGAAGUAAUAAAUAAUAAUAAUAAAUAAAUGCGACUUAUAGUCCGGUGCGAGUUAUAUAUGUUUUUUUCCCUCUUCAUGAGGCAUUUUUUGACUGAUGCGACAUACACUCCGGAGCAACUUAUAGUCUAGAAAAUACGGUAGUUUUUUUAAAUAAAGCGUUGGUACUUACAUUACUGUAAUAGUAAUAAGAGUUUUAAACAUGGUGUUCACAUUCAGGAGACUAAUGCUGCUUUAAUCUCACAGCUACGUGUGUGUGUGUGUGUGUGUGUGUGUGUGUGUGUGUGUUCAGGCUUUGAGGGCGGCGACCCUCCUGUCUUCCUGGAGUGCGGCGGCUCUGCAGACUGUCUUUCCUGGCUCGCCGUGCUUAGAGACGCCAACACCGAGACGCUCAGGCGACGCAUCGCACAUCUCCACUCUUUCAUUAACACGCACAGCGCCCGGGAACACACACACGCUGCCUCAGACUGCGGCGCGGGAGAGAAAAACCUGCAGGAUGCUGGAGAGCCGUCCCUGCAGCUGCAUCCUGGAUACUUUUUAUUCCUGAAAAAAGUGCUUCAUGAAGCCCCCUCCCCCACCCAACAUUUCCUACAGCUGCAGCUUCACAUUAAAAGCAUCUAACUUGGUAAUAAUUGGUUGAAAAAACAAAGUUAGCGGAUGUAAUAAAAUGUCUGUGCAAAGCCCAAAAUUCAUCUGAUUGUGAUCUAUUAAACUAUUUGUUUUCACAACUUUCUAAUAUUGAGAAGUUGUUGUAGUUGGUUUGCAGAGCAGAGUCCAUUAUAAUGGAAACCAAGUAUCUGUUUUUAUUUUAUAUGUCUUACUACUUAUUACUGUAUUUAUUAAAUUAUCUGUUUGUGAUCAUUGAUCCUUUAUGUUUUGGGACUUAAAAAAAUAUCCUGCAUUAAAAU
rnacentral:lncRNA from 15 species